rnacentral:misc_RNA from 1 species
AAUAAUUUGGCGGUGAUAUAUAACGUCAGCUAGACAAAAUAGGUCAAUUUGUAAAAUGGUAUUGCACGUAAAUCGCUGCGACAUUUGGCUCACUCGCCCUCAAACGCCUGGAAAGCAUUUUCUUGCCGUGUAUCGGCCGGUGAAAUGCCGUGAGUGAGUAAGACGAGGACAGCGCGAUCGAUUGUUCGUCCUUGUCAAACUGACUCGACCCAACCUUCCUGCCCUUGCGCUCGCGCGUACGGUGUUGGUUCGCGAUCUCGCCGCUCGAGGCCUCCAAAGUCAACGCUGGAUUUGUCUCUGGGGCUCCUGCAGACCCUUAAUCGCUGCAUGUGGUUGGCUGCUCUGCGACCUAACCUGUCAGAAGUGAAGCGGAUUUGAGGUCGUGAGUAGUUCUUGAAUACUCGUAUAUUCGUUUUAAGUAUUCGUGUGAUUUUGUUGCGCUCGUUGCGCGUUGCUACUGGGGUACUGGAGACGUAGUGUGUAGAAGAAGAAGAAUUCGACGGUAUAUUCUUCUGGAAGAAAAGCGCAACGUCGACGUCGUGCGUCCGACGUUCGCUGAUCGCGGAACAAAGCUGGCUACUGCGUUUUCCCGAGUUAUCUAUCGGUCGUCACUGCCUGUUAUGCGGUGAACGUCGACAGAAAUUAUAGUAAUACAUAGUAACAGUGACGCUCACUCGACAAGCAUAUAGAAACAAAAUGUCUGGGCAUAGAGGCAGUGGAGGAGCUGGAAGUCAUCAUGGAGGCCCUCCAGGUCUAAAACAGAUUGACUUGGAUCAAAUUUGGGGAGAUUUACGUGAAGGCAUAGAACAAGUUUACAAUAGACAGUGUAUGUCAAAACCAAGAUAUAUAGAAUUAUAUACACAUGUAUAUGAUUAUUGUACAAGUGUUCAUCAACAAUUGACUAGAGCAUCAACCAAGAGUAAGAAAGGGCAAAUCUCACAAGGAGGUGCACAAUUAGUAGGAUUGGAACUAUACAAACGUCUACGUGACUUUCUUAGGAAUUAUCUUAUUAGUUUACUUAAACAUGGGAUUGACUUGAUGGAUGAAGAUGUACUACAAUUUUAUACAAGACAAUGGGAAGAAUAUCAGUUUAGUAGUAAAGUAUUAAAUGGUGUAUGUGCAUAUCUCAAUCGUCAUUGGGUACGCAGAGAAUGUGAGGAAGGGCGGAAAGGAAUUUAUGAAAUUUAUCAAUUAGCCUUGGUUACCUGGAGAGAUAAUUUAUUUAAGCAUUUAAACAAACAGGUUACUAGUGCAGUGCUUAAAUUAAUUGUUCGAGAACGUAAUGGAGAAACAAUUAAUACCCGAUUAGUCAGUGGUGUUAUAAAUUGUUAUGUAGAAUUGGGCUUAAAUGAAGAAGAUCCAGGUGCAAAAGGACAAAACCUAACAGUAUAUAAAGAUUCCUUUGAAAAUCAAUUCCUUGAAGAUACAGAACGUUUCUACUCUAAUGAAAGUUUAAAUUUUCUCAGACAAAAUCCUGUAACAGAAUAUAUGAAAAAGGCGGAACAGAGGUUAUUAGAAGAACAAAAACGAGUUCGCGUUUAUCUACAUCAAACAACUCAUGAACGAUUAGCGAAAACAUGUGAAAGAGUGCUCAUUGAAAAACAUCUAGAUAUAUUUCAUUCUGAGUUCCAGAAUCUUUUGAAUGCUGAUAAAAAUACAGAUUUAGGCAGAAUGUACCAAUUAGUAGCAAGGAUACCGAAUGGCCUUGGAGAAUUAAGAAAUCUUUUAGAAACUCAUAUAGCUAAUCAAGGACUUGCAGCUAUAGAUAAAUGUGGCGACUCUGCGGCUAAUGACCCGAAAGUUUAUGUGAAUACAAUUUUGGAAGUACACAAAAAAUAUAAUGCUUUAGUGCUUGUCGCAUUUAAUAACGAUAGUGGUUUUGUGGCAGCUCUGGAUAAGGCUUGCGGUCGAUUCAUUAAUGCGAAUUCUGUUACAAGAGCAGCAAACAGUAGCAGUAAGUCGCCCGAAUUAUUAGCAAAAUAUUGUGACUUGUUGCUUAAGAAGAGCAGUAAAAAUCCAGAAGAAGCAGAGCUUGAAGAUACUCUCAAUCAAGUCAUGGUAGUAUUUAAAUACAUCGAAGACAAAGAUGUAUUUCAAAAAUUUUAUAGCAAAAUGUUAGCAAAACGAUUGGUGCAACAUAUGUCUGCCAGUGAUGACGCAGAGGCUUCAAUGAUCUCUAAGUUAAAACAAGCUUGUGGAUUUGAAUAUACUUCGAAGUUACAACGCAUGUUUCAGGAUAUUGGUGUAUCAAAAGAUCUAAAUGAACAGUUCAGGAGACACUUAGUAAGAUCUGCUGAACCAUUAGAUGUGGAUUUCAGUAUACAAGUUUUAUCUUCUGGUUCAUGGCCAUUUCAACAAUCCUUCACAUUUUCUUUACCAACAGAGCUAGAACGAUCUGUACAUAGGUUUACUACUUUCUAUAGCUCACAACAUAGUGGUAGAAAGUUAAAUUGGUUAUACAAUAUGUCUAAAGGGGAACUGCAUACUAACUGUUUUAAGAACAGGUAUACAUUGCAAGCCUCGACUUUCCAAAUGGCAGUUUUAUUACAAUAUAAUGGAUCUACAUCAUGGACAAUACAGCAACUGCAUUAUGCAACGCAAAUAAAAAUGGAUUUUUUAUUACAGGUUAUUCAAAUACUUCUAAAAGCCAAACUUUUAACUGCAGCUAGCGAUGAUGUAGCUGAACUGACCCCACUAUCAACGGUAGAACUUUUCACGGGGUACAAGAAGUUGAACAAGAAACUACACACAAACAUAUAGAAGAAGACAGAAAACUUUUAAUUCAGGCAGCAAUUGUUAGAAUUAUGAAAAUGCGAAAAGUAUUGAAACAUCAACAAUUGGUAGCAGAAGUCUUGAAUCAGUUAAGUUCCAGAUUCAAGCCAAGAGUACAUGUUAUUAAGAAAUGUAUAGAUAUUUUAAUUGAAAAAGAAUAUUUGGAGCGCACAGAGGGUCAGAAGGAUACUUAUAGCUACCUGGCAUGAUCAGUCGAUCUGGGACAACGAUACAGCAGCAAUCAUAUAUGCAUAAUAAAAAAAAUCUUAUAUUAUCAUUGCCACAUACGUAUCAUAUUUAUUUAAGUGUCAAAAUUAACUUUUGCACUUUUUUUCUGUACAUGGAUGCCUUUGUACAUUGUUGUCCUUCUGGUCGCAUUUAGAAUGUCUGAUUACACACGCAUACACACACAUAUACGUAUAUAUACACACAUAUGCAUACGUGUGUGUGUGUGU